rnacentral:rRNA from 1 species
UACGAAGGGGGCUAGCGUUGCUCGGAAUCACUGGGCGUAAAGGGUGCGUAGGCGGGUCUUUUAAGUCAGGGGUGAAAUCCUGGAGCUCAACUCCAGAACUGCCUUUGAUACUGAAGAUCUUGAGUUCGGGAGAGGAGAGUGGAAUUCCUGGUGUAGCGGUGGAAAUGCGCAGAUAUCAGGAAGAACACCCGUGGCGAAGGCGGCUCUCUGGAACGCAACUGACGCUGAGACGCGAAAGCGUGGGGAGCAAACAGG